CACUACCAGCUGUAUGUCACUAACUCUUAUUGUGACCUAUCAUGUAUAGGACAGAAGUAGGAUAUCAACUAGUAAAAUGAACAGAUUAAACGUCAUCAACAGUCAAACAAUGAUUAUUCACUUGUACGAGAGAUUAAUAUUCAUUCCAUUGUUUAUUUAGCUUUCAUUGCUUAAAGGCCUAAGAGGUAUUGGGGAGAGGUGAUUAGGUAUGACAUGGCUAGAACGCGGGUUUCUGAGGACAUGGCCCUUGAUAGGAAAGUCUGGAGGUCUAGUAUCAGGGUUGUAGGAUAGGGGCUCCUAGAGUUUUCCGUACUUCUCACCCGGGGUUGGGUGAGGCUUGGCGG
rnacentral:lncRNA from 1 species